UUGUAAAAGGGUUUGCAGCUCUGGCAGUGCUCCUCCUGUGGGCAGUAUUGCCUUGGUGUGCUUUUAUUUUCCUUCACAUCGGAGCACAAACAAAGGCUGUGGUCCAAACAGUCGAUCUCUUCCUUUUUUACAGCCUGUGGCUCUUCCUUGAUCUUUGUGUCUGCUGCUUGUAUUAACUGCCUUGUUGUCCCUUGCUGCACGUUCUGGCCAGUAAGUGGUGCUCCCCCCUUCCUUCCUACAGCUCUAUUCUUUGCUCAGAGCUGAGUGCUGUCAUACAUUGCUGUUCCUUUCAGGUAUGUCUCACCCAGACGCUGCGUCAUACUUCGAUGUAGUGUAUUGAUACAAUAAUGGUAUUUCUAAUGUGAGCCCUAAUGGUGUAUUUUUAAUUAUAGUACUUCCUGGCAUUGCCUGUUGUCCAUACUGGAGAUUUUACGUACAAUUACAGAGAUGCUUGAAUAGGUUCCUCUGAUACGGGCCCCAACUGGGGGCAUAAUGUUGAAAGUGAAGAGGAGUGUUAUGUUGCUGACAUGGCUAUCUUAGGGUGCGAAGUGGGUUUGUCACAAUGGGACACCAGCCUUCCUUUUCCCUUGACCAACCACCUCAUGAGAACCAAUGCUAAGCCAAUGAAGUUUUGGGCAUGCUGCUUGUUUUGGCUGGGACAGAUCUGAUCUCCAGAACUGUGUGCAGAGCUGGGAAGGAGUAAGGUGAAAACAGAGGAAUGUUCCCAGACCAAUCUUUGUAGAAGCCACCCCAGCACACUGCUGGGCCCAUCCUCCUGCUCCCCAGGCACAGGUGUUUGGGUUUUGCCAUGGUGUCAUUUCAAAUUGGUUGCACUGGGAGGGAAUGUCUUUGUGAAGAAAGCCAGGCACACAGCACCACCUCGCCAGCUUUCUCUUACUGGGAAGUUGAACACCGAAGCUUUCUGUAAGUCAGCUAAUAUUUGCUUUGAUGCCCUGUGUGAUAUCUUAGCCUGAAAGAGAAAAAUCCUGUCGGUUUUAAUUUUAUUUGGUGUGCAGGU
rnacentral:lncRNA from 1 species